UACAGAGGGUGCAAGCGUUAUCCGGAUUCACUGGGUUUAAAGGGUGCGUAGGUGGGUUGGUAAGUCAGUGGUGAAAUACUUUCGCUUAACGAAGGAACUGCCAUUGAUACUACCAGUCUUGAAUACAGUGGAGGUAGGCGGAAUGCGUCAUGUAGCGGUGAAAUGCUUAGAUAUGACGCAGAACACCAAUUGCGAAGGCAGCUUGCUACACUGUUAUUGACACUGAGGCACGAAAGCGUGGGGAUCAAACAGG
rnacentral:rRNA from 1 species